rnacentral:rRNA from 1 species
ACUCCUGCGGGAGGCAGCAGUGGGGAAUUUUGGACAAUGGGCGAAAGCCUGAUCCAGCAAUGCCGCGUGUGUGAAGAAGGCCUUCGGGUUGUAAAGCACUUUUGUCCGGAAAGAAAUCCUUGGCUCUAAUACAGUCGGGGGAUGACGGUACCGGAAGAAUAAGCACCGGCUAACUACGUGCCAGCAGCCGCGGUAAUACGUAGGGUGCGAGCGUUAAUCGGAAUUACUGGGCGUAAAGCGUGCGCAGGCGGUUUGCUAAGACCGAUGUGAAAUCCCCGGGCUCAACCUGGGAACUGCAUUGGUGACUGGCAGGCUAGAGUAUGGCAGAGGGGGGUAGAAUUCCACGUGUAGCAGUGAAAUGCGUAGAGAUGUGGAGGAAUACCGAUGGCGAAGGCAGCCCCCUGGGCCAAUACUGACGCUCAUGCACGAAAGCGUGGGGAGCAAACAGGAUUAGAAACCCCUGUAGUCCCAUG